GCUAAUUGUAGUCCGUCACGAUAUCAACCUUUUAAUUUGAACACAACUGGUUACAGUGAGUGUGCCUAUCGCAAAUCACUUUGUGAAAGCGAAGGUCAGACAACGUUUGAAAAUGGCCCCACAAGUUCCGACAGGACAUGUACUUGUCGAGCCGGAGAAGGAUAUAAGUUUGUUAAGGAACCAAGAAACGGAUGUUACUGCAGUCCGACAAAUGAAGAUUGUUCCUGCUAUAAGAGCAUUGAUCUAAGUAGCAACAACUCAAUUGGAUGGGAAGAUUUUGAAUGCCGUAACAGAAAAGAUAUGACACAGAGACGUUUGAAUCGAGAUAAGAUCAAGACAUCAAAGGAAUUUAACAGCUUUCCAUUCAACAAUUAUAAAUAUAACAUAGCGCGUACUC